AACGAACGCUGGCGGCAGGCUUAACACAUGCAAGUCGAACGCUCGUAGCAAUACGGGAGUGGCGGACGGGUGAGUAACGCGUGGGAACGUGCCCUGAGGUACGGAAUAACUGCGGGAAACUGCAGCUAAUACCGUAUGAGCCCCGUGAGGGGGAAAGAUUUAUCGCCUUAGGAGCGGCCCGCGUCGGAUUAGCUAGUUGGUGGGGUAACGGCUUACCAAGGCUUCGAUCCGUAGCUGGUCUGAGAGGACGAUCAGCCACACUGGGACUGAGACACGGCCCAGACUCCUACGGGAGGCAGCAGUGGGGAAUAUUGGACAAUGCCCGAAAGGGUGAUCCAGCGACGCCGCGUGGGUGAUGAAGGCCUUCGGGUCGUAAAACCCUGUCAAGUGGGAAGAAUUCGUUUAUACGAAUGACAGUACUACUAAAGGAAGCCCCGGCUAAUUCCGUG
rnacentral:rRNA from 1 species